rnacentral:lncRNA from 1 species
CGAAGAUUAUCCGAAUCUACGCGUCAACACCAGAUAGGCGGUUAAGACAGCGCCAGUUGCCAAAACGCGCUUUCUAGCGAGUGGCGAGAACGCGCUUCACUCGCGUCUAUAAUACGAGAAAAUCCGACUCCCUUUUAUAAGUUUACCUUCUCUCUUUUGGGAUUAUCAUCCCCAAAUUUCCCCCAAACGAAACCCUAGCGGCCGUUCAGCCAUGAUUCUUAACCUAUAUAAACCCCCGAAGGCUUGAUUUUCAAUCCCGCAAUCACAAAUUUCUCGGAAGGUUUCGAUUUCUCUCGAUUUGGGGUAAUCGGAGACGAACACAGUUCGCGAUUGUUCCCGGAGAUAUCCGCGCGGCCCAACCCGAUCGGCGGUUCCGCUUCCACGAUCCGACGUCGUUUCGCUGUCAAUUGAAUCCACCGGAUCGAUUCCGCAGCCCUAGAGUUCUCUGAUUCUUUCAGAUUGCUUCAAGAAUAUCGAAGGCUUUGUUCGUUGCAAUUACAGAGGGGUUUUGCUAUUGCCUCUGAGAUUUCUCAGAUUCGAUUCGAAUUGCGACGAUUCAUCGGCGGAGGGUUGCAGAAGUCUUUAUCUGGUGCGAGGUAUCGAAUCGGUGAUCGGAGAAGAGUUAGGGUUCGGCGUUCAAGGGAGAUUGGAGACCUUCUGCGGCG